AGCAGCCGCGGUAAUUCCAGCUCCAAUAGCGUAUAUUAAAGUUGUUGCAGUUAAAAAGCUCGUAGUUGAAUUUCGGGAUCAAUGCGUCGGUCGUGCUUUCGGGUACGUACUGGUGUCAUUGGUUUCUCCUUUCUGACGAGCCGUGAUGUCAUUAAUUUGGUGUUACGGGUAGUUAGGACUGUUACUUUGAAAAAAUUAGAGUGUUUAAAGCAGGCAUUCGCUUGAAUACAUUAGCAUGGAAUAAUGAAAUAGGACGUUCGACCCUAUUUUGUUGGUUUCUAGGAUCAACGUAAUGAUUAAUAGGGAUAGUUGGGGGCAUUAGUAUUCAAUUGUCAGAGGUGAAAUUCUUGGAUUUAUUGAAGACUAACUACUGCGAAAGCAUUUGCCAAGGAUGUUUUCAUUAAUCAAGAACGAAAGUUAGGGAUCGAAGACGAUCAGAUACCGUCGUAGUCUUAACCAUAAACUAUGCCGACUAGGGAUCGGAUGAUGUUAAUUUUUUAAUGUACUUCAUUCGGCGCCU
rnacentral:rRNA from 1 species